GAUGAACGCUGGCGGCGUGCCUAACACAUGCAAGUCGAGCGGGAAAUUUCGGACAGAGACUUCGGUUGAAGGAAGAAAUGGAUAGCGGCGGACGGGUGAGUAACGCGUAGGCAACCUGCCCUUCACAGAGGGAUAGCCACUGGAAACGGUGAUUAAUACCUCAUAACGCAAGUCAAUCACAUGGUUGAUUUGCCAAAGAUUUAUCGGUGAGGGAUGGGCCUGCGUCUGAUUAGUUAGUUGGUGGGGUAACGGCCUACCAAGGCAACGAUCAGUAGCCGACCUGAGAGGGUAAUCGGCCACAUUGGAACUGAGACACGGUCCAA
rnacentral:rRNA from 1 species